AUACUUAUGUGGCAGGGAAGAGAGCCAUGAUCACAGAGACGGUUAGAGGCUUGUAAAUUGUAUUCGGGCCAUUCUGACCCCUGUGAUUUCCCCAAAUGUGGGAAACUCAACUGGGUUC
ensembl:snRNA U1 U1 spliceosomal RNA